GCGUCCAUUGUCUAAUGGAUAGGACAUAGGUCUUCUAAACCUUUGGUAUAGGUUCAAAUCCUAUUGGGCGCGAUUUUUCUAUCUCUCUUUUUUUUUUUAAGAAUCUUUUGAUAUUGCAUUUAUAGUGAACAUUUCAGUAUAUAGUAAAAUAAAAUUUUAGUAAUAUGUUUU
rnacentral:tRNA from 1 species